rnacentral:lncRNA from 1 species
UUUUUUUGUCUUAUUUCAGUUCCAGACAUAUCAUUACUUUUUAACCUGAGAUGGCAAACUAGAGGUUUUAAAAAGUCCUGAAUAACUGGUAAGCAUUUUGUUUAUUAGGCAAGCUCUAAAUUGUUUAUUUAUGGUAUUUAUGCAAUUGAAAUUACAGUCGGUAUGUUAAAAAUAUGCUAAUAUGAAAACUGUUGCUAUGGUCUUGGUAUUAAAUGAAAAGGCUUAGUUACAGAUCGUUUCGACUCAAUAUUUCGAGUUAAAUCUUGCGGCAACUGUUUCUCACGUAACACUGCAAACUAUAUUUAGCACUAUUUUGAUCUGUCGUUAUUUAAUGACGCCAUAAUACAUGUGAUGUCACAAUGUUUCCUUUAAAACCUCAUGUGGAUUUCUCACUGAUAAAAGGUUUUCACUGAAAUACAUGUUAAAAAACAUUUUUUUCUCAAAUAGAAUUAUGUGAAAGGACAAGUUUUGAAAAUUUGCACUAUAUUGCACUCUAAUUAUAUGAUAAGGAUGACUUUCCAAGUAGUUUAGAGUGCUUUCCACAGUUUUAAAUACCAGAUUUCCACUAGUAAGAAUAAUUAUUUUGGUGUUGGUUUUUUUAUAAAAUCUUCAUUUUUGCAUAAUUUCUCUGUCAAAAUGCACUUUAAGGCACAAGAAAAUUUUAUAGAAUGCUUUAACAGGGUCUGUGUAUUGUAAUUAAAGGUUAUAAUCAGAAGUUUUGUCCUUGUUUUGACUAGUGAAGGUAUUCUGGAAGAAAUUAAUUAUACAUACACAUUGUAUUCAAAAUAAAUGAAUAUAGCGACGAAAGUGUCAUUGCCUUAUAGUGCUAAAACAACUUUAUUUUUUUUCAGAAAUGGACAAAAAUACACAGAUUUAUUCAGAAUGUUAUACCGAUGAAGAUCACAUAAAAAUAUUUGGAAAAAUCAGAAGUAUGAAUUUCAAUAUAGAAGCUUAAUUCCAGAAGUUUUCAGGCUGAUUUAUGGAUGAUUUCACCUUGUACACCACCGAAAAUGAUGGUUAGUAGUUUUUUAUUUAUACCUAGUUAUUAUAAAUGGUUUAAGAUAAAUAUUAUUGAUAAAGAUCAGCAAAAACUCAAUGAAAUUUUCGCUUUUAAAAUGCAUUACUGGCACGGGGCUGAACACUUUUUUUAGGCACAAUCAUAACUUUGUUUACUUCCGAGAGAUCCGAAAGGAAUUUGUUUACUAUAUUGAAAAAGGCAAGAAAUAACUUUUAAAUAUUAUUAAAUUGUAAGUAAACAUGACACAAUAUAGUCUUUGUUAUGUAAUUAUCACUUCGGUCUACAGGAAUACCUGAUAAUCAAGGGAGAUAACACACUUCAUACGAGUAAAGUGAGAUACAUCAUCGCAUGUGCUUUUAUCCAAUGAUUUGACCCCUGGUCAGUAGAUAUCAUAUGCAAAAAAACAGAAAAAACAUGUACAUGUUUUAAGAAAAUCAUGAAUUAUUAUUUUUAAUGCACAUUGAGCAAAACAAUAGAUAUUGUCAUUUCUCAGUGAAAAAGGGGGAGGGUCAAACCUUUUUGAAAACAAUAUUUCUGCACCUAUUCAACUAUUAAGCUAGUUAGCUACUACCCAUUGCUUCUAAUAUAAAGGUUUAAAUGAAGGUGACUAAGCCACAAGGGAGAAGCAUUUGUCUUUCUUUGUGAUUAAACUUUCAAGAAUUAGAUUUUUCUCUCUCAAUAAUACUUAUGUAUUUAAAUCAAAUGAUAACACAGCCUGAGUAAUUUUUUUUGUCUUAUUUCAGUUCCAGACAUAUCAUUACUUUUUAACCUGAGAUGGCAAACUAGAGGUUUUAAAAAGUCCUGAAUAACUGGUAAGCAUUUUGUUUUAUUAGGCAAGCUCUAAAUUGUUUAUUUAUGGUAUUUAUGCAAUUGAAAUUACAGUCGGUAUGUUAAAAAUAUGCUAAUAUGAAAACUGUUGCUAUGGUCUUGGUAUUAAAUGAAAAGGCUUAGUUACAGAUCGUUUCGACUCAAUAUUUCGAGUUAAAUCUUGCGGCAACUGUUUCUCAUGUAACACUGCAAACUAUAUUUAGCACUAUUUUGAUCUGUCGUUAUUUAAUGACGCCAUAAUACAUGUGAUGUCACAAUGUUUCCUUUAAAACCUCAUGUGGAUUUCUCACUGAUAAAAGGUUUUCACUGAAAAUACAUGUAAAAAACAUUUUUUUCUCAAAUAGAAUUAUGUGAAAGGACAAGUUUUGAAAAUUUGCACAUUAUUGCACUCUAAUAGUAUGAUAAGAUGACUUUCCCAGUAGUUUAGAGUGGUUUCCACAGUAUUAAAUACCAGAUUUCCACUAGUAAGAAUAAUUAUUUUGGUUUUUUUUUUUGUUUUGUUUUUUUUUUUAAAUCUUCAUUUUGCAUAAUUUCUCUGUCAAAAUGCACUUUAAGGCACAAGAAAAUUUUAUAGAAUGCUUUAACAGGGUCUGUGUAUUGUAAUUAAAGGUUAUAAUCAGAAGUUUUGUCCUUGUUUUGACUAGUGAAGGUAUUCUGGAAGAAAUUAAUUAUACAUACACAUUGUAUUCAAAAAUAAAUGAAUAUAGCGACGAAAGUGUCAUUGCCUUAUAGUGCUAAAACAACUUUAUUUUUUUUCAGAAAUGGACAAAAAUACACAGAUUUAUUCAGAAUGUUAUACCGAUGAAGAUCACAUAAAAAUAUUUGGAAAAAUCAGAAGUAUGAAUUUCAAUAUGGGUCAGGAUCCCUAAUAGACCUUGAGAUGAGGAACUCAGAUGA